AGCCUCACCUGAGAGUAAAAAUGAAGCAGAGGCAGAGACCUGGCUGAAGCAGGCUGAGCCACUGUCCUCACCGGCAAUGGCAGAAGACGGGGAACCUUCUUCAGUGCCGCAGCAGAUGUUUCAUGCACAAACACCACUGCGGGAGCGUGCCUGAGGGAUGGGCCACAGCACACUUCUGGCCGGGCUGACAGCUUUCCCUGGCUGGGACACGUUUAGAAGGCAGUUUGGAUGCCGCUGCCCUGGUUUGGAAGGCACCUGUUGGGAAUAGCUUCCUACUCAGCAUCCCGAAGAGUCCAACCGCUGCCUUGCAAGGUGACCAUCGGGUGACCAUCCCUCCACAAAUGCCCGAGGUGCGUCUGCACCUCAUUGUGCGAGGAGGCUGUACUCGUUCUGAAUCUCUAAAGGAGAGCUCUGUAACACUGAGGGUCUUUAUUGAAUCCAGCUUUCCGGUCUCCCGUCUAAUAUGGUGGUAACAGUGUAUUUGCGGUAAUGGGCAACGUAUUCCAAGAUCCGAUGGGACUGCCGGAGUGCGGUGCUGGAGCCAGCAGGUAACGCUGAUAAAGCCUUCAUGCACUCCUUGCUCCAAAUCAAUGUGCUUGAAUUUCUUCUGCUACAAACUGCUGUGGACUUUUUUUUUUUUAAUAGUAAAAAAAUACUGGAAUUCUUUAUUUUCCUUCCAAAAUAUUACUACAGCUCAGCCUACAUACUCGUCAAGUGUAACCGCAUACUGUGUUUUCCAUGAGUCUGUUACAUCUUCAUUCCUAACUGACAAACGGGUGGCUUUUCAGAAACAGGACAAUUUUCAGAGAGAACUGAAUCUGAAAAGCUUUUUUUAAAUAACGUCUUAUACCACAGUAAUACCAUAAAUAAAGUCUCUUCACUAGGUGUGCUUACGUUACACUCGUUUUCCAACACUACUAUGUAACAGCACCUAAGAAGAAAAAUUAUUUGAACAUUCAUACGGCUAUUUACACUGACUUUUAUUACCUAGGUCACCAAAAUUUAACAAACAAACCCCCAACAAAACAAACCCAAACCCUGUGCUGUGGCUGCAGACAUACCUUGGGUUGCCCGACUCCAUCCGGAGAGACCUAGAACGGCUGCACUGAGGGCGAGCUGUGUUGCUCUCUAGGGUUACCUCUGAGUUUGAGACUGAGCAGACAGGAUCCACAGAAGUCCAAUAACAAAGGAACGCUGCUUAGUAAGUUGCAAAAGUAAU